rnacentral:rRNA from 1 species
GAUGAAUGCUGGCGGCGUGCCUAACACAUGCAAGUCGAGCGGUAACGGGUCUAGUUUACUAGAUGCCGACGAGCGGCGAACGGCUGAGUAACGCGUGGGAAUGUACCCCAAAGUGAGGAAUAACUGCCCGAAAGGGUAGCUAAUACCGCAUAUGGUCUUCGGAUUAAAGGAUUUAUCCGCUUUGGGAACAGCCUGCGUACGAUUAGAUAGUUGGUAAGGUAAUGGCUUACCAAGUCUACGAUCGUUAACUGGUUUGAGAGGAUGAUCAGUCAGACUGGAACUGAGACACGGUCCAGACUCCUACGGGAGGCAGCAGUGGGGAAUCUUCCACAAUGGGCGAAAGCCUGAUGGAGCAACGCCGCGUGAAGGAUGAAGGCCUUAGGGUUGUAAACUUCUUUUAUGAGUGAAGAAUAUGACGGUAACUCAUGAAUAAGCACCGGCUAACUACGUG